rnacentral:rRNA from 1 species
AGGCGACGAUCAGUAGGGGUUCUGAGAGGAAGGUCCCCCACAUUGGAACUGAGACACGGUCCAAACUCCUACGGGAGGCAGCAGUGAGGAAUAUUGGUCAAUGGGCGAGAGCCUGAACCAGCCAAGUAGCGUGCAGGAUGACGGCCCUAUGGGUUGUAAACUGCUUUUAUAAGGGAAUAAAGUGAGUCUCGUGAGACUUUUUGCUUGUACCUUAUGAAUAAGGACCGGCUAAUUCCGUGCCAGCAGCCGCGGUAAUACGGAAGGUCCGGGCGUUAUCCGGAUUUAUUGGGUUUAAAGGGAGCGUAGGCCGGAGAUUAAGCGUGUUGUGAAAUGUAGACGCUCAACGUCUGCACUGCAGCGCGAACUGGUUUCCUUGAGUACGCACAAAGUGGGCGGAAUUCGUGGUGUAGCGGUGAAAUGCUUAGAUAUCACGAAGAACUCCGAUUGCGAAGGCAGCUCACUGGAGCGCAACUGACGCUGAAGCUCGAAAGUGCGGGUAUCGAACAGGAUUAGAUACCCUGGUAGUCCGCACGGUAAACGAUGGAUGCCCGCUGUUGGUCUGAAUAGGUCAGCGGCCAAGCGAAAGCAUUAAGCAUCCCACCUGGGGAGUACGCCGGCAACGGUGAAACUCAAAGGAAUUGACGGGGG